CAAUCGGCUCUUUUCAGAGCCACCUAAUAAUUGAAAGAGAAUAUUG
rfam:Anopheles stephensi strain SDA-500 unplaced genomic scaffold supercont1.105, whole genome shotgun sequence.